rnacentral:rRNA from 1 species
UCUCAACCUGAACUCAGUCGUGAUUACCCGCUGAACUUAAGCAUAUCAUUUAGCGGAGGAAAAGAAACUAAAAAGGAUUCCCUUAGUAACGGCGAGUGAAACGGGAAGAGCCCAGCGCCGAAUCGAUCAGUCUUUGGCUGCUUCGAAAUGUGGCGUAUAGGUGUAAGUUUCCAGCAGUGUCGUAUGUCCGAAGUCCUUACGAUUGAGGCCAUAAACCAGAGAGGGUGCGAGCCCCGUUCUGGAUAGCGGCACUGUUGGUUCGCUUGCUCCUUGGAGUCGGGUUGCUUGAAAGUGCAGCCUAAAGUGGGUGAUAAACUUCAUCUAAGGCUAAAUAUCGACUCGAUUGCGAUAGCGAACAAGUACCGUGAGGGAAAGUUGCAAAGGACUUUGAAGAGAGAGUUCAAGAGAACGUGAAAUCGCUGGAGUGGAACCGGAGACAGUUGAUGUUGCUUGGAGACAAGCUUGGUGACUGGUCGCUUAGUUGUGAUCGUUGCCGGGUGUCGUUUCCUAUGCUACGCCGACGGCGUUGGCUGCUCGUUCUAGCCCGACAGUGUUGCCCAUCUCGCAAGAGAAGGUGUCUUGCUGGCGGUAGUGGGUUCGUGGCGGCUAGCGUUUAGUUACGCUAGUGUGUGUGACGUCGGUGUGAAAGUCGACGACGUUUCCGACCCGUCUUGAAACACGGAUUGCGGAGUGCUUGUCUACUGCGAGUCAAAGGGUGUUAAAACCUUGCGGCGAAAUGAAAGUAAAGGUCAGUCUCGAAUUGGCCGACGUGGGAUCUGUGUUCUUCGGAGUGCAGCGCACCACGGCCCUGUGCGUGUCACUUGUGACUGUGCAGAGGUUGAGCAGUUGGCAAACGACCCGAAAGAUGGUGAACUAUGCCUGAGCAGGAUGAAGCCAGAGGAAACUCUGGUGGAAGUCCGUAUCGGUUCUGACGUGCAAAUCGAUCGAUAGACUUGGGUAUAGGGGCGAAAGACUAAUCGAACCAUCUAGUAGCUGGUUCCUUCCGAAGUUUCCCUCAGGAUAGCUGGAUCUCAGGCAGUUAUAUUCGGUAAAGCUAAUGAUUAGAGGCCUUGGGGACGUAAUGUCCUCAACCUAUUCUCAAACUUUCAAUGGAUAUGAAGUUGCAGUUUCUUUAGUGAACUGUCAACGUGAAUGCGAGGUCCAAGUGGGCCAUUUUUGGUAAGCAGAACUGGCGCUGUGGGAUGAACCAAACGUGGAGUUAAGGUGCCUAACUUCUCGCUCAUGAGACCCCAUAAAAGGUGUUGGUUGAUAUUGACAGCAGGACGGUGGCCAUGGAAGUCGGUAUCCGCUAAGGAGUGUGUAACAACUCACCUGCCGAAUCAACUAGCCCUGAAAAUGGAUGGCGCUUAAGCGAGAGACCUAUACUCCGCCGUUGCGACAUGUGCGUUGUCUAGCGCCAGGUCGUAACGAGUAGGAAGGUCGUGGCGGUUGCGUUGAAGGCUAUGAGCGUAGGCUCGGCUGGAGCUUCCGUCAGUGCAGAUCGUAAUGGUAGUAGCAAAUAUUCAAGUUCGAUCCUUGAAGACUGAAGUGGAGAAGGGUUCCACGUGAACAGUAGUUGGAUGUGGGUCAGUCGAUCCUAAGGUACUGGCGAACGCCUUGUAUCAUCGGUGGCGAAAAGCUUGCUUUUAGUCCCCGCUUGUCGAAAGGGAAUAGGGUUAAUAUUCCCUAACUGAGAUGCAAAGAUUGUGUUCUUCGGAGCACAAGCGCGGUAACGCAUUCGAACUUGGUUAGUCGCUCAAAGACCGAGCUAGAGUUUUCUUCUCUAGUUAAGGAACGGACUCCCUGGAAUUGGUUCAGCCAGAGAUGGGGACGUUGUUUCCGAAAAGCACCGCGGUUUCUGUGGUGUCUCGUGCUCUUUGAACGGCCCUUAAAACACCAAGGGAGGCUAUUAAUUUGCACUCAAUCGUACCGAUAUCCGCAUUAGGUCUCCAAGGUGAACAGCCUCUAGUCGAUAGAAUAAUGUAGGUAAGGGAAGUCGGCAAACUAGAUCCGUAACUUCGGGAAAAGGAUUGGCUCCAGUGGUUGGAACGGUUGGCCAGUUGGUUGAUGCUUGUCCGGCGCAGUUCUGUCUGCUUGAUACUUUCGGGUUGAUGGCGGACUAGUGAUUGUGCUUGCUUGCGGACGCUUUCUGGUGUGUGCUUGGACCUCGGUUCUAGUAUCCUGAUCGCUCAUCUAAACAACCGUACUGGAACCGGUACGGACUCAGGGAAUCCGACUGUCUAAUUAAAACAGAGGUGACAGAUGGUCCUUGCGGACGUUGACUGUCACUGAUUUCUGCCCAGUGCUCUGAAUGUUAAAUCGUAGUAAUUCGAGUAAGCGCGGGUAAACGGCGGGAGUAACUAUGACUCUCUUAAGGUAGCCAAAUGCCUCGUCAUUUAAUUGUUGACGCGCAUGAAUGGAUUAACGAGAUUCCUACUGUCCCUAACUACUUUCUAGCGAAACCACAGCCAAGGGAACGGGCUUGGCAAAAAUAGCGGGGAAAGAAGACCCUGUUGAGCUUGACUCUAGUUUGACAUUGUGAAGAGUCAUGAGAGGUGUAGCAUAGGUGGGAGUCUUCGGACGACAGUGAAAUACCACCACUUUCAUCGACUCUUUACUUAUUCGGUUAAAAGAGAAUUGGCUUCACGGCCUUUUUUCGAAGCAUUAAGCGGAGCCAUUUUAUGGCACCGUGACUCUCCUCGAAGACAGUGUCAAGCGGGGAGUUUGA